ACAGGCACUCUCCUGCACACACACACACACACUCAGACACACAGGCACUCUCCUGCACACACACACUCACACACUCAGACACAGGCACUCUCCUGCACACACACACACUCACUCACACACAGACACACAGGCACUCUCCUGCACACACUCACACUCAGACAAGCACUCUCCUGCACACACUCACACUCACACUCAGACACA
rnacentral:lncRNA from 1 species